UGAUCUCGGUGUUCAGUUGUGCGUAGUUUUUGAUUUGCACCUCGCCCUUGGGCAAGUGCAGAAUCCUGGGGUUAUACAAAGCGCAUCACAGUUAACCCCUUUGUCCCAGUCCGCAGAAUGAGAGCUCAGAGCCCGGCCAUGGGAGGCUGGGUUAUAUAGGCAGGAAAAUCAAGGAACCCAGGUAUGAGCAGGGGCGUUUGUGGCGCGGAGAGAGCUCCUAUCCCUGCCGUCCAUCUACGUCUCAGGCUUGGCCCCUGGCGUGCAGAAAACCGCAUCUCCCGAAAUCCCAGAACGUAAACGUCGCCCAGGUACUCGCUAAGGCGAAGCGAGGAAUGAAGUUUCUGGGAGACAGCCUCAGACCUGGAAGGCAGUGACCAUCCUCUGCUUUUUCAAUCUGAGUCGGGAUCUGCUCCCUGCAGGCAAGGCCACCCGGAAGUAGCGGGGCAGCUUCUCCCAGCCCCAGAACUUCACGCCAUACGCGCCUCAUCUUCAAUAGCACUUUCCUCCUGUAGGACUCAGAAAGUGAUGGAGAACUGGGGAGCAGUAAAACACGUGCUUGGGGGAGGCGGCAGUUUCCUCUGAUCUUCUCCCAGAUAAGAGGCACAGAUGUCGUCAACAGGAGAAACAACGGGGAAUACAAAAACAUUUAGCUUUAAUUUUUGAUGCUACAAGACCCCUCUGGAGACAGUGUUCACGCAGUAUCUGGAGAGUGUUGUUUAGGCUCCUGCUUCCUCACGCAGUCCCCUCCAACAAUACUGUUGGUCCAUUGUGCUUCCCACUGUCCUUAGUCCAUCUCAUCCAUGAAUAGGCCAUCAGCUCCCCCAGACCAGCAGCGGUGGGCUUUCCUUUGAAAUCUGGAGGGUCUGGAGGGCUGCACAAACUUCCCUCGACUUCGUUAUCUCAGAGCAUUGUGAUGGAAAAGAAACAUCCCAUGCAAGUGGACAGCACUAGGUUGUGAA
rnacentral:lncRNA from 1 species